rnacentral:rRNA from 1 species
GCGAAACCGUGUGAUCUACCCAUGGGCAGGCUGAAGCUGUAGUAACAUACAGUGGAGGGCCGAACCGGUUGACGUUGAAAAGUCUUCGGAUGACCUGUGGGUAGGGGUGAAAGGCCAAUCAAACUCGGAAAUAGCUCGUACUCCCCGAAAUGCAUUUAGGUGCAGCGUUGAUCCAUAGUUUUAUAGAGGUAGAGCUACUGAUUGGAUGCGGGGGCUUCACCGCCUACCAAUUCCUGACAAACUCCGAAUGCUAUGAAAUGUUAAUCAGCAGUGAGGGCAUGGGUGCUAAGGUCCAUGUCCGAGAGGGAAACAACCCGGACCACCAGCUAAGGUCCCUAAGUGUGUAUUAAGUUGAGAAAACGCGGUCGGACUGCUUUGACAGCCAGGAUGUUGGCUUGGAAGCAGCCAUUCAUUUAAAGAGUGCGUAACAGCUCACUGGUCGAGCGGUCCGGCAUGGAUAAUGAUCGGGCAUAAAUACACCACCGAAGCUGUGGACUUCCUUUGGAAGUGGUAGGGGAGCAUUGUGUUUGCGUUGAAGGUUGACUGCGAGGUCUGCUGGAGCGACCACAAAUGAAAAUGUAGGCAUAAGUAACGAUAAUGGGGGCGAGAAACCCCCACACCGAAAGACCAAGGUUUCCCCGGCUAUGCUAAUCAGCCGGGGGUUAGUCGGGACCUAAGGCGAACCCGAAAGGGGUAGUCGAUGGACAACGGGUUAAUAUUCCCGUACCCGCUCACAUUAAAAGCGACGGAGGCGCGGCGUUGGUGCGCACUGACAGAAUAGUGCGUUGAACUCUACGAAAGUAGAGGAUAGUACGAUGAGGCUACGGCCAAGUCGAUAAUCCAGCAUAGCGACUUCCUAGAAAAGCAAGUGAAGCGGCCCGUACCGUAAACCGACACAGGUGGUUGGGAUGAGAAUUCUAAGGAGCUCGAGAGAUUCAUGGCUAAGGAACUAGGCAAAAUCGACCCGUAACUUCGGGAGAAGGGUCGCCCCACUUCGGUGGGGCCGCAGUGAAAAGGUCCAGGCGACUGUUUAUCAAAAACACAGGGCUAUGCUAAAUCGAAAGAUGACGUAUAUGGCCUGACACCUGCCCGGUGCUGGAAGGUUAAGUGGAGGGCUUAGGGGCAACCCGAAGGUCUUAAAUGAAGCCCCAGUAAACGGCGGCCGUAACUAUAACGGUCCUAAG